rnacentral:sRNA from 1 species
UAAGCAGUGGUCUUCUUAUGGUGGAAUCC